AUGGGCUCCCUCGCCGCCGCCGACGAGCCGCUGCCUCCUCUCCGGUACCCCCCGGCCCGCCGCGACGGCGACAUUGUCGACGACUACCAUGGCGUUCUUGUGCCGGACCCCUACAGAUGGAUGGAGGAGCUGGAGUCCGAGGAGGUGAAGGAGUACGUGGGCGCGCAGGCGGCCGUGGCCGACGCCGUGCUCGCCACCUGCGACCACCGCGGCCGCCUGCGCGGGCAGCUCACGGCGCUGCUCGACCACCCGCGCUACCGCGCCCCCUUCAAGCGCGCCGGCACCUACUUCUACUUCCACAACCCCGGCCUCCUCCCCCACAGCGCCCUCUACGUCCAGCACGGGCUGGGCGGCGAGCCGAGCGUGCUGCUGGACCCGGGCGAGCUCAGCGACGACGCCACGGUGUCGCUCUCCAUGAUCGGCGUCAGCGACGACGGCGAGCACCUGGCCUACGGCACCAGCGCCAGCGGCAGCGACUGGGUCACCAUCAGCGUCAUGCGCGUCCGCGACAGGCACCGCCUCCCCGACGCCCUGUCCUGGGUCAAGUUCUCGCGCAUCGCCUGGACCAGCGACGGCAAGGGCUUCUUCUACUCGCGCUUCCCAGCUCCAAAGGACGACGAUGGCGCGCCGGAGUCCGGGAUCAGGACCGACGUUAACCUCAACCACGAGGUCUACUACCAUUUCCUCGGAACUGAACAGUCCGACGACGUCAUGUGCUGGAGAGACCCCGAGCAUCCCAAGUACAUAUACACCCCUGAGGUUACAGAGGACGGCAAGUACGUGCUUCUGUCAGUUUCAGAGAGUUCAGAGCCGGUCAACAAGCUGUACUACUGCGACCUCUCAGCUCUUUCCCAUGGGCUUUCAGGCACGAAAGGAACCCACGAAAUGCUCCCCUUCGUGAAGCUCGUGGACGAAUUCGAGGCCUUCUACGGAGUCGUCGCCAACGACGGCACCCGAUUCACAGUCCUCACAAACAAAGACGCUCCGAGGUACAAACUGUCGCGGGUCGACGUCGACGACCCGCAGUCCUGGACCGAUGUUCUACCUGAAGAUGGCAAGGCUGUCCUAGAAUACGCUUGUGCUGUCCACGGUGACAAGCUUCUGGUGAACUACCUGUCAGAUGUCAAGUACGUGCUGCAGAUGAGGAGCCUGGCCGCCGGAGAGCUGCUCCACGGCAUACCCAUCGACAUAGGCAGCGUCAACGGGAUCACCGGCAGGCGUUGCGAUUCCGAGGUGUUCGUCGAGUUCUCGAGCUUCCUCACGCCGGGGAUCGUCUACCGGUGUGAUCUGAGCUCCGGGGUUCCUGAGAUGAGCAUAUACAGAGAGAUCACCGUCCCUGGCUUCGACCGCACGGACUUCGAAGCGAAGCAGGUGUUUUACCCAAGCAAGGACGGGACCAAGAUCCCGAUGUUCGUCGUGUCGAGGAAGAACAUCGACCUCGACGGGUCGCACCCGGCCCUGCUCUUCGGCUACGGCGGGUUCGGCAUGAGCAUGACGCCGCAGUUCAGCGCCGCCCGCGUCGUCCUCAUGAGGAACCUGGGGUUCGUGACGUGCGUCGCCAACAUCCGGGGCGGCGGCGAGUACGGGGAGGAGUGGCACAAGGCCGGCUCGCUCGCGAACAAGCAGAACUGCUUCGACGACUUCAUCGCCGCCGGCGAGUUCCUCGUGUCCGCCGGGUACACGAGCCCGAGCCGGCUGUGCAUCGAAGGCGGGAGCAACGGCGGCCUCCUGGUGGCCGCCUGCAUCAACCAGCGGCCUGGUCUCUUCGGCUGUGCUCUGGCUCACGUGGGUGUCAUGGACAUGCUUCGGUUCCACAAGUUCACCAUAGGUCGUGCAUGGGCUUGUGAUUUCGGCUGCUCGGAGAAGGAGGAGGAAUUCCGCUGGCUUAUCAAGUACUCCCCGCUGCACAACGUGAGGCGGCCGUGGGAGAAGGGCGCCGGCGGCGACCAGCACCGCCGCCAGCAGUACCCUCCCACCAUGCUGCUGACGGCGGACCACGACGACCGCGUCGUGCCGUCGCACACCCUCAAGUUCCUCGCGACGAUGCAGCACGUCCUGUGCACGAGCGUGGAGCAGAGCCCGCAGACCAACCCCAUCGUCGCCCGGAUCGACCGCAAGAGCGGCCACGGCUGCGGCCGCUCCACGCAGAAAAUCAUCGACGAGGCUGCGGAUCGUUACGCGUUCGCGGCCAAGACGAUGGGGGUCUCUUGGAUCGAUUGA
rnacentral:rRNA from 1 species